GCAAAGUGUCAUAUGUUGGAGAGGGCGUCUGCAGAAGGUGGCGGCGGCGGCGGCGCAGGGCGAGCGGCGCGGAGGGAGAAUGUUGCUGCAGAGCAGAGCUGUCUUCUGGGCAUGACGAGGAGGAUUCCUAGCAGCAGGAGGCUGCGCACUGCCGAGGGCUCAUUUCAGAUGAUAGCACCAUGAUGAUGAUGAUGAUGAUGAUGAUGGUGAUGAUGAUGUCUCGUGCCUGGUGAUGGCGCGCGCAGCCCUCCCAUUUUCUCUCGUGGAAGUGAAAGACUGAAAGGCUCGAAAGUUGACAGCUCUUCCAGGCAAUUCUUUACGAGAACUCAAUCCACUUCCAUCGCAGCGCGGGCCGCCCCGCACAGAUAAGUCUCGCUGUUUGUUUUUCGGCUGCAAACACUCCUGAUAUUUUAUUUGCUUAAUAGAAAAAUAAAAGUUGCGGUGAAGUUUUGGCUUCAAGAUGACAGAGAUCUAACAAGAAAGAGGUUGGAAGUUUUUUUCUUCUUUUCUGUUUUUCUUUUUUUUUAACUUCCCUCACUUAUCGCGUUGGCUAUUGCGGUUUAUGUUUAUUUGGGUGUUCGGUUGCACACUUUUAGCUGAAGUGUGCAUGUGUUGUGGAGGAAAGCCGCCGCAAACUCCCAUGCAUGUGCGCUGCUUCUCAUGCAACAGUCCAGCUGACCGCUGCCCCCUCCGGAUCUCCCAAACAACCAACACCACCUCCCCCCGAGGAGAACCCCUUCAAGGGGACACUCAGCUCUGAGUCGCCGGUGUCACCACGCCACGCAUGAGGGACACGGUCCAAGGAAGGAGAGGAGUAAACAAGGUUCAGUCCUGAACCGAGCAGGUGAUUAGCUGCGUUCUGUGAGCAUGUUGAAGGCCUAUCCAAAGCCCAGAGCGAGACACAGAGCCGAACCACGGCUGAAGCAGUCGCUCUAGGCCGGGCUACCGAGGGGGGAGACUCCGGGUUUAGAGAGAAAUGAUGAUCCGGGACUGGAGCUGCGAUGAGCUGAGAGAACUGGAGGAGAGGAGGCAGGCAGAGGGGUCCACCGGUCCGCUCCCCAUUUCUGCUCAUAUUGAUUUCUGCUCCUCUCUUUUCUUUUCCUUUCUUUUAUCUUCUUUUCUUUCAUUCCGUUUCUUUUUCUUUUGCUCUUUUUUCAAAUAUUCAGCUCAGGGAAACAAAGAUAAAUAAAGGAUUUUAUCCGAAACGGACUUUGAUUUCUGGCGUUUUCCCUGCUCCAGACUGGUCUGGAACUUGGAAAUGUUUGGGAUUUUGUUUAUGUAUUUAUUCAUUUUGUCCAUGGAUCAAAAUGCAUUCACCCUGACUGAAAGGUACUAAAAACGAUAAGAUCUAAUAGGCUUUUCUUUUCUUUUCUUUUUUUUUACAAAUUGAACGCCGCCUAAGAAGUUCCGCUAAGUGCUUUGAACUGAACUGGGCGGAAGUGGCGCAGUUUAACGGAGUGUUUCCUUUUCGGGUGCACCAUGCAACACGGCGGGAUGUUGGCGGUGUAACCCACAUGUGACGGGUUAGCCGGGUCAGUGCGUGGGUUGAGACAAGCCCACACCCACUCCAGCACGCCGUCAGGCCUAAAACAUAUUCCGAUGUGAACCCAGCGCAGAUUAUUGAACCAGCAACAACUCUGAGCAAACAUUUUUCCAGGCUCCCCAACUCCGCUGCGGCCUGUGCUGAGAGAAAUCCGAUGGGAUUUAUAGAUCAUCUCCCUACAGCUGUCGCUUCUCAGCCGGUCAACCCCUGCUGACCCCCCGCCUCCACUAUAGAUCGACCUCAGCAUCGCAAACGCUCCAAUAUUCGGAGGUUCGAUCAGACCCAGAACCAU